rnacentral:lncRNA from 10 species
GCCUGCAGCAUUUCAGAGUCCCGUGACAAGUGGACCAAAGGUCUGCAUUUGCAAACCCCUACUGGGAUUAAUCCCUAAUUCCCAGUGGAGAAGGAGCACCAGGCCCACACAAGGCCAGACCCACGCCCUGGGCUUCUUACGCACACAGCCUUGACCUCCACAGCCACGGAGCAGCCUUGGCUUUCAGGCCUCCUAAAGCAUGUUUCUAAGAGAUGAAAAAGAGUCGUGUUCAAGCUCGUGGAUUCCGUCUCAACAUGUAUAAAACAAUCGUCGAGCAAACCCUCACUGAGCAGCACUCGCACUGUCCCAGACACCGUGCUGGUUGCAGUGAAUGAAACAGGUUCCAGGCUCCCAGAACUCAGUGAGGUUGGCGAGCCGGGCCGGCACACAGAAACGCUGCUACAAACACGCAAACGUGCUCCCCUCCAUGCAGGGCAAACCCUCCUCAGGGGCCCCUUUUCCUAGAAUUUGGGCCCUUGUCCAGGCCUCACCUCCAGAAGAGUCUCCUUAAGCAGGAGGCUGAGAGGGCAGCGAGGCGGGGAGGGAAGGGGGACAGCCAGUGUCACUGCAAGUCGCUUUAUUUCUCCUGCGGAAGUCCAGCCCUCCCUCACUCCCCUACUCCCCGGCACUUCCAGCUUCCUCCCCGCAGCGGGUUAACACGUGCAUUUGCCAAGAGCUCAGGAAGGGCGCGCUGUGAGCAUCCAGCCAGCUGAGGAGGAGGGGACUGUCCCCUGGGCAGCCACCCCGCUGCCACCUGAGGAAGCUACUUUGGGGUCCACCUGCAUGCACGGAGCAUAAAUAAUUCCUGAGGGCAUCUGAACUCCAACCAGGUCAGCCCAGCCCAGCUUCCCCAACAUCCCCCUUGCCAGGGAAGAGGCAGAGAAUAGUAACUCAAGUUUAUAGAGACUGUAUUGUUGCCUUUGAUCUUCAGCACCACCCCAUUGAGGUAAGCAUUAGCUCAUACCUUUGGACAAGGGCAAGUCAGAAAGUGAGAGGGAAAGUGAGAAAGGCAUUUGGAAAAAACAGGGAGGAGGACUUGGUCAUUGCUUCAUUCAUGUAUUCAUUGCACAAAUAUUUAUUGGCUACCACAAUGUGUCAGCUGUGGUGCUGGAAGUGGAGAGACAAUAGCAAGUGAGACAGAGAAGGUCCAAACCUUUACCCAACGGAGUGUAUAGUCCAGCAAACAUUUCCUGAAGGCCUGCACCUGGCAAGGCACUGCUGGCAAAGCCCAAGAGUACAGCAACCCAGCUUAAAGGAGGGUGAUCCAACUUUGAAAGCUGCCCCUUCUGUGAGCGCCCUCAAUCCCUCAAGCUUAUUCUGCCUCACUAAUGAUUGCUCUCCCUUCCAUGGUCUAUUGUACCAUCUUUCUCUCCCUAUUGGCCUGAGAGCUCUUCCAGGGCAGGACCACUCUCCACUCAGCCCAACACAAUGUCUGGCGCACGGUUCUUCAGGCACAUUCAUCCAAUGAUGACCUGCAAUGAGCCGAGCAUGGUGUCAGCAGCUGAAGCAACAGAGAGGGAAGAAACCCAGGCCCCUUCCUCCAGGGAUGUGGAGUCUAGUGGGGGAGAAAGAUAAAGAAAGAAGCAACUAUUUUGAUGUGAUAAAUUUCCUGGGGAAUGACUAAGUGCCAAGCUGUGCAGAAGAAGAAAUGCUGGCUGGGCCUGGUGGUUCACACUUGUAAUCCCAGCACUUUGGGAAGCCAAGGUGGGAGGAUUGAUGGAGGCCAGGAGUUUGAGAUCAGCCUGAGCAACAGAGCAAGACUCCAUCUCUACACAAAAUUUUAAAAAUUAGCCAGCUGUGGUGGCACACAACUGUAGUCCCAGCAACUUGGGAGGCUGAUAUGGGAGGAUUGCUUGAGCCCCGGAGUUCCUGGCUGCAGAAUGGCCACUGCCCUCCAGCCUGGGCAACACAGUGAGACCUAGUCUCAAAAAAAAAAAAAAAAAAAAAAAAAAAAGCCAAAAAGGAGAGAGGAGGGAGGAGAGAAAAGAGGAGGGAGGAAGGGGAGGUCAAGGAAGGAGGAGGAGGAACAUAGCUGUAAUGGGAAGAUAGGGAGGAAAAAGGAGGAUGGAAGACAUGCUCAGAUAUGUCUUCAUGGCUAGAUGGUAAGUUCUGACUGGGCAGAGACAAUGUCUGUUUCCUUAGUACCUAGCAAAGGGUCUUGCACUGGGUAGAUAUUCACUGUAUUUUCAGUGGGGAAUGAAUUCCCAUAAUAGGGAAUCUGAAGCCCUUAAAGAAAACCAGAAUAGCAAAGAAUAGAAUAAUGUUUACUCUUUUAUAUUGAUUAGAAAUGCAUACUCCACAUAUAGAAAGUACAAACUCAACAGAGUAAAAUCUCAGAGAAUG